AUACAUGUUUAAACUGGAGGAAAGGCUCUAUGACUGAGUGAUCAUAUAAAAAAAAAAAAAAAUCUGUUCUUAUCAGUUUAAUAUCGGAUACGUCCCCUAUCUGGGGACCAUAUAUUAAAUGGAUUUUUGGGACAGGGAGAUGGAAGAAGAGCUUGCUCUGUCCACUCCACGCAUUGACCUGGUAUUGCAGUACCUCCAGGACCGGUGCACCUCUC
rnacentral:snRNA from 1 species